AGUGUAAUUGCUGGGUCAUAUGGUAACUCUGUACUUAUCCUUCGGAGGAAUUGCCAGUCUCUUUUCCAAAGUGACUGAAUCAUUUUACAUUCCCACCAGCAAU
rnacentral:pre_miRNA from 1 species